UACAGGGGUCCCAAGCGUUGUUCGGAUUUAUUGGGCGUAAAGGGUGCGUAGGCGGCGGAGUAAGUUGGGUGUGAAAUCCCGGGGCUCAACCUCGGAAUUGCAUUCAAUACUGCUUCGCUCGAGUACUGGAGAGGAGGCUGGAAUUUACGGUGUAGCAGUGAAAUGCGUAGAUAUCGUAAGGAAGGCCGGUGGCGAAAGCGAGCCUCUGGACAGUUACUGACGCUGAUGCACGAAGGCCAGGGGAGCAAACGGG
rnacentral:rRNA from 1 species